UACGAAGGGGAUUAGCGUUGUUCGGAAUUACUGGGCGUAAAGCGCACGUAGGCGGAUUUGUUAGUCAGGGGUGAAAUCCCGGGGCUCAACCUCGGAACUGCCUUUGAUACUGCAAGUCUCGAGUCCGAUAGAGGUGGGUGGAAUUCCUAGUGUAGAGGUGAAAUUCGUAGAUAUUAGGAAGAACACCGGUGGCGAAGGCGGCCCACUGGAUCGGUACUGACGCUGAGGUGCGAAAGCGUGGGGAGCAAACAGG
rnacentral:rRNA from 1 species